GACGAACCGAGCGAACGUUGUUCGGAAUCACUGGGCUUAAAGGGCGCGUAGGCGGGCACUCAAGUCUGUGGUGAAAUCCGGCAGCUUAACUGUCGAACUGCCUUGGAUACUGGGUGCCCUCGAGGGGAGGUAGGGGCGUGCGGAACUGAUGGGUGGAGCGGGUGAAAUGGCGUUGAUAUCAUCAGGAACUCCGGUGGCGAAGGCGGCACGCUGGACCUCUUACUGACGCUGGAGGCGCGGAAAGCCAGGGGAGGCAAACGGGG
rnacentral:rRNA from 1 species